rnacentral:rRNA from 1 species
AACGAACGCUGGCGGCAGGCCUAACACACGCAAGUCGAGCGCGCCCUUCGGGGUGAGCGGCGGACGGGUGAGUAACGCGUGGGAACGUGCCCUUCUCUGCGGAAUAGCCUCGGGAAACUGAGAGUAAUACCGCAUACGCCCUUUGGGGGAAAGAUUUAUCGGAGAAGGAUCGGCCCGCGUUGGAUUAGGUAGUUGGUGGGGUAAUGGCCCACCAAGCCGACGAUCCAUAGCUGGUUUGAGAGGAUGAUCAGCCACACUGGGACUGAGACACGGCCCAGACUCCUACGGGAGGCAGCAGUGGGGAAUCUUAGACAAUGGGGGCAACCCUGAUCUAGCCAUGCCGCGUGAGUGAUGAAGGCCUUAGGGUUGUAAAGCUCUUUCAGCUGGGAAGAUAAUGACGGUACCAGCAGAAGAAGCCCCGGCUAACUCCGUG